GGCUCAGUUGGUAGAGCAUGGCGCUUGCAAUGUCAGGGUUGUGGGUUUGAUUCCCAC
rnacentral:tRNA from 1 species